CCUGGACUAAAAAUUGUUUUCAUUAUUUUAAUAGAAGCUAAAAUUUUUAUAGCUGUCUCAUUUCAGAAUUCAUGGCUUUAAAGUAAAAAGCUUCAUCUAUUUUAAAACUUGCAGGCCUACAUGUGCAGAGAGACACAUCAGUCUAUCUUAGAUGUUUUCUGAUAUUAAUUUUAUUCUCAAUGACUGUCAGCCACGGAUCCUUCACCAACACAGAAUGUGUCAAAAGCUUUUACAGAAGUAAACUAACAAGCAGAGGAUAAAUAAUCGACCGUUUUAGGUGAUAAUCCUGCAGUGAGCUCUGUGUGACCAGACAUUUUGCCCAGCAGAAAGAAUAUGUUUACUUCAAGAGGAACCCAUUUGGGUGUUCCCUUCGGUACCAGGUUGGCAUGAUCUGGAAUCUUCUAUGUGAAUUCAGUUACUACAAAAGAGAGGUGACGCCAAGGACUCUACAAUCUCAGUGCCUGAAAGUGGGUGGGAUUAGUAUUACUGCCUUGAAUGGAUGUUACUGCUGAAACCAUUACAAGUCUGAAAAGCUUUCUUUCCUGUAGCCAGCUGGAAAGGUGGCAUACUGCUGAGAAGAGAACCUGGAGAGAUACAUGAAAUAGAUUCUGAGUGCUUGAGGUAGAGGAAGCCAGUUGGAGAAAGAAGGAUACCUAUUGUUAAGUAGCUGCAGUUAAAUGGCUCCAUACCAGGCUCUUAUAGCAUCUUCAGAAAAUUAAUGGUGCUUCUGUGUAUUCUGAAAGUUAUUAAAUAAUAAUUCUAAAUUGUUAGUGCAAUUGUGACCAUGUUAAAAAGAAGUUAUUUUAUUGAGAUUUGAUUAAAAAAAAAAAGUUUUAUUAAUGCUCUGUGAAUAACAGCCUCAAGUGAUUUAUCUCACUUUAAUAGUGCAGCAGCAUACAGAUCUGCAAUGUGUACUCUCAUUAUUAAAGAGUCUUAGUGCAAAUAUUUAAAUAUCUAGUGAUUGGAAGACUUGACAUUUAUUGGAAUGUAGAUAUGGGAAGGGUUUAAUAAUGCUUUUAAUAUAACUUGACAGGACAAAAAAAAAAGUGCAUUAAUUCCAUUAUCAGAAUGCCUUAAAAGAAAAUUACAAAGUGGUGGAACUUGCAUUUGUACUUUCUUUCCACCUUCUGUGUCUGAACUGAACUGUGCUGUGAUUAGAAUAUGCUCAAGUAUUUGGAACAAAAAAAAAAAAGUAUGAUGAAUCUUAAAAUGCAAUUUUCCCCUCAUCAAAGUAGAGAAAACCCAUAUAACUUCAUUUAGAUAGUAAUUAUUUCUCGAAAUAUUCAUGAUCUGUAUUUAGAAACAGAUUUAGCGUUAAAUGCCCCAAAUUGAUAGGUGGAAAGGUAAAAAAGAAAAAAAGACUCUUUGAUCUGGG
ensembl:lncRNA